CUGCCUCAGCCUCUCAAAGUGCUGGGAUUACAGGCAUGAGCCACGGUGCCUGGGCUGACAAAUAUUUAUUAUUGAGUUUGUGGAACCCAGAAUGAUCUAGGGCCUCAGUGGCCACUGAACCCUGGGGCACACUUGAACAAAAAUAUGGGCUUCUCAGCCACUAUGCCUUGACAUCCUCUCUAAUCAGAAGUUUGUGUAAUAAGUGCAAAAGACAAUAUUCACAGUGACAAUGAUACUGUGAACUGCCAUAGGGAGAGUAGACAUGACUGUGGUGACAAUGCAGCGGCAGCAGGACCCUGUCCUCUCAUAAGUGGGCAUCCUUUCCCCAUGUGAACACCACAUAGCAGAAACGCCCAUCUUCCAAAGCCCUUUUAUCAUGUUAUGAAUUAUUUACACUUCCAUAUAUUUCAGUUAAAGAGUGGUAAUCAGAUCUGUAUGGAUGCCACUUGGGUCAUUUGUCAUUUCACUUGAAGGCAAAGAAAUGUUUUUAACUGGUAAGUACAACCUUAUCAUAAAAGUCUAUUUUCUGUAAGAAAUACUGAAAAUAUAUUAAAGACCUCCCUUAGUGCCCUUCAGGACACAUAAGAAUCCUAAUAUACCAGGUUGGGAACCAUUGCUAUAGGAUUUGAAAGGAAUAGUAAAUAGUAUUAUCUGAAAGUGAAGAGGAAGAAGAGAUUCUACUUAAAAAUAUUUGUUAAAUGACUGAAAGAAAUAAAUCUAUGAAGUCGUUUAGAACAUGGUCCUUUAGGGAAAGACCUGCCUGCUGUAGAUUCCAUUCACAUUUUAUACGUUUGUAAUGCCUUACAAAGCUAGUCUUUGCACUUAAAGCUACUGCUAACUGAGCAAUAGAAUCACACCUCAUAAGGCUUAAACUGUGUAUUUAAAGGUUUUGAUAGGGGAUCCAGAAAUCUGAGUGAAACCCUGGGUUCUGCAGGUACACAUGGCUCAUGUAUAAGGCAUUUGAAGGGCUUGUGGCCUUGAUGGGGAACACUGUCAACUCUGAUCCUGUUUGUCUGAGGUUACUUGGGGUACAAGAUGAAGACAGAAGGGCGUGCCUCCCUUCUGGAACCAUCACGGCCAGCAGCCGCAUGUUGGGCAGCUGCUGAUACUCAGGGUGCCCAGGCGGGAGAUGGUGAGAGGCCAGCCCUAGCCAAAUUCCUUGCUGCUGCCAGAGGAAGCAGUCUUGCCAUGUGUGUCCACAGGGAUAAGAUUAGCUGCCGAGGUGGAGCUGAUAUCUGAGCGAGGCUCUCGAGGACACAUUCUGGAUAGAUCUCCAUAUGGGAGUUGGAUGACUGCCACCAGCCAGUCUUGGCAGUCCCCAGAAUUCUUCUGAAGUGGACAGUGGAAGAAGUGAAACAUUUGCCUGGCAGCUGGCAUCAAUGCAGUCUCUCUCUGGACAUGCAGAAGAAAAGGUUCAAAAGGAACUGAACCCAAACCAGUCUUUAUUUGAUUUUAGAUGGAAUUAAAACAUUUUUGUGGGUCUCGACAAGUAUUGCCAGCACUGCACCUGCCACCCUGAUAGUUAUUAAUUACCAAUUUACUUUGUGUGUGUGAGAGACGG
rnacentral:lncRNA from 1 species